GCCGAACAUAAAAACCUAAGGAAAAACCAUUUUUGAAGUUCAAACAUUCGACCAUCUAAUAGAUGUUACUGAAGUCCAGCAUUUGUUGCGGAUUCUCAAAUGUAUGUGGCACAGAUUUAACUCGGACGAGUAACUUGAUGUGUCGUUAUAAAGGUUUAGCCUAGACGGGUAACCUGAUAUAUAUAUUCAGCUCGGAUGAACAACUGGUGUAGUGUAGAUACCUGUGUAUCCAAGUUCGUUUACUAGAGUUCAUCGAGGGAUGUAAUUUAUAUGAAAAUGAGAAAUUGAAUGGGAUGGAAUGAACUUGAUAUCAAAUGGAAAAAUAUUGAAUGAAUUGAGUAUGAAAAAUUAAUUGGAGUAAUGUCUUUGACAUGUAUGUGAUUGUAUUAUCUCUUGAUUGAAUGUGUUUUUAAGAUUAAUUACCUAAAGUGACAUGAAUUGGCAUGUUAAGUAACUGUGGUAUCAAAUGGUUUUGAUUAUAAGUCAAUGCUUACAACGUUGGUGUUUUUUAUUGCCAUGUCUAGCCAAUUCUUAUGUCAAGCUAAAGUAACUUACAAAUGUUAGGUAAGAAUAAGGUAAGUUUUGUAUAAUACAUUUGAACUUACUAAGCAUCCUAUAUGCUUACAUUAUUUGUUUUCCCUUUCUUUGCAGAACUUGUCAAGUUGAAUCGUCUCGAAGCUCACACUAUCACCGAAUCGGUAGUUAUACGAUCAUUUUGAGUCUAGGGUUGUGGUAUCAAAUUGUACAUUUUUGCCAAAAACAAGAGCCACGUUUCGACGACCAACCUCUCUUAUUACAACGUCGGCUGACAAUAAGUGACGCCGUGACAUCAAAUGACAUGAAGUUGUGAUGUGACUUACUGUGUUGGCAACGUCACGAUGUGGAAGUGAUGAAAUCGCAACGCCGAUCCUAAAUUUUCAAGACUUUGCAAUUUGGUCUUAUUUCAUAUUCAGAUUUACAAAAGAGCUUUCAUAAGCUUGUAUAAGAUCUGAAAAUGAUUAUUUAACAUAAAUUGAAUGUGAUUGAUGCUUAA